GACGAACGCUGGCGGCGUGCUUAACACAUGCAAGUCGAACGGAAAGGCCCUGCUUUUGUGGGGUGCUCGAGUGGCGAACGGGUGAGUAACACGUGAGUAACCUGCCCUUGACUUUGGGUUAACUUCAGGAAACUGGGGCUAAUACCGGAUAGGAGCUCCUGCUGCAUGGUGGGGGUUGGUAAGUUUCGGCGGUUGGGGAUGGACUCGCGGCUUAUCAGCUUGUUGGUGGGGUAGUGGCUUACCAAGGCUUUGACGGGUAGCCGGCCUGAGAGGGUGACCGGCCACAUUGGGACUGAGAUACGGCCCAGACUCCUACGGGAGGCAGCAGUGGGGAAUAUUGCACAAUGGGCGGAAGCCUGAUGCAGCAACGCCGCGUGCGGGAUGACGGCCUUCGGGUUGUAAACCGCUUUCGCCUGUGACGAGGCGUGAGUGACGGUAAUGGGUAAAGAAGCACCGGCUAACUACGUG
rnacentral:rRNA from 1 species